UACGUAGGGCGCAAGCGUUAUCCGGAAUUAUUGGGCGUAAAGAGCUCGUAGGCGGUUUGUCGCGUCUGCCGUGAAAGUCCGGGGCUCAACUCCGGAUCUGCGGUGGGUACGGGCAGACUAGAGUGCAGUAGGGGAGACUGGAAUUCCUGGUGUAGCGGUGAAAUGCGCAGAUAUCAGGAGGAACACCGAUGGCGAAGGCAGGUCUCUGGGCAAUAACUGACGCUGAGGAGCGAAAGCGUGGGGAGCGAACAGG
rnacentral:rRNA from 1 species